AUAACAUAAAAAACGAAUUAUAUGAAAAUUACCAAAAAAAAAAAAAAAAAACAAGUUUUACAAAAAAUUUUCUAGUAUACUGCAGAUCUAGUUUAUCUGUUUAUGAUUGCUUGAUGGGGGGGAGUCCACUUCUGAAAUGUCUCUAUUAUUGGUACAUUAAUAUCGUUCAUAUCCUAGACCUUAACCGAGUCAAAUAAAACAAAGCGACGCGCAGUGACGUAAAAUCAAAAGCUAGUGUUAGCAAUCAAUACCAUUAUUAUAUGCUACGCAAAGAAUAAAUAUAUUUCGUUGUAGUAGUAAAUAUUACAACGUGUAACCGCGAUCACCGUUAAAAAAUGUCUAAAGAAUGGGUGGGUGGGAAGAGACUAUCGACCUAUCACUCCCCCCCUUGCAUACGCCGUUGCUAUAGACAUUGAACAAAUGUGACGGACCUUUUUCGGUUUAACGAGGGGGAAAAAAAAAGUUUGGAUUGAGUCUUUGCAGUACAUAUUGUCGUUAAAAAAAAAAAAAAUAACAAAAAAAACAAAUAACAAAAUUCUUUUCGGAUUAAUACUCAAUACAAUAUUUUAUUAUUGAGUACGAAUUAGCAUACACAGAGCGAUUAUUUUAUCGUUAUCUACGAAGAUUUCGAGUACCUAGAUAAAUUCAGAUUUUAUUCAGUCACAUAGGUAUUUUAUUACCAUUAUUAUUUCGUAUCGCAUAAUUGAUUUUAAUCAAAAAUAACUUUAUACUUAAAAAAAACCUCACUAUGAUACCAUCGCCUUUUUUUUUUUUAAUUGUAAAAUUUUACACGGUAUACGGUAUAUCUAUUCAAAACCACAUUCAAAAAGAUCAUAGUAUUUAUGUAAACAUAUUGACGCGCACAUAAUACGCAUUCCCUUACGAACGCAUGUGCAAAUUCGCAAAAUACGGGAGCAGCUAAAAUAUUCGAAAAUCAAUAAUCGAUACGCGUGUAUCCGUAUAAAUAUUACACUGCGUCACAUGGACUGCGACACAUGUGCUAGGACGGUGCUAGGCCGUACCUUCGGGGAAGUGGUUCAACCCCCGAAAAUGGAUCGCGUCAAAUUAUUUCGUUGGAAAACAAUUAUUUUGGACGAUAAAAUUAGAAGACCGCAAAUUUUUUUUUUUACAAUCCACCCACCCCCACCCCCACACUCCCUACUCACUCCUCCAGAAAUUGUUUCCCGGUUACUGCCUGUGCGUCGCGACGGUAUAAAUUUUAAUAUAUAGUCGGUACAGGAAUUAUGGCACGGCAACGGAAUAACGUAAAUUACAUUUUGAUAAUAAUAAUAUAUUGUAUAAGGCGGCUGCGUUCAACAUAAUAUGUUAUUAUAAUCGAUUAAACGCGAUUUUUCGUCUCGAUAAAAAAAACAAAAUCCAACAUCGUAUUCAUUCGGGCACUCGAAAUCUCCGUAUGACGCAUAAACGAAUGUGGAACAGUAAGUUCCUACACACGAGAGUGGCGGGUAAACAAAUUUUAUACGUUACGGUUCCGAAAAAUGAGACGGUUAAGUUCCUGCGCAGUAAAAAUAGGUGCGUGUGGUAUAGUCCCCUACACGGCGGAAAUAUUACGUACAGGUACGUAAGUUCUUGCGCAGUAAAAAAAAAAAAAAAAUUAAAAUACAUAUCAAACAUAAAUUUCAUAAAUAAAUAGACGACGAUGAUAAAACGUAAUAAAAAUCGCAUAACGCAUUUCAUAAAUAGAUAGGUUAGGUUAUGUCAAACAAACGUAGAUUUUUUUAAAAAUUAGACGUUUUGUACGUGGAUGGUACUUUUAACUCUAGUGAUACACUUACUGACAUUUGAACAUUUUUUUUUACCUUGUAGGAACUAACGUUUAUAAUUUUUCCCGCCGUAUUGGAACUAACCUUUACGCGCCUUUUUUCGACCGUGUAGGAACUUACACAUCUCCUAUUCAUAUUCGUGUAGGAACUAACAUACGCGCUUUUUUUUUCUUUCCCCCCCUUUUAGGAACUAACAUACGAGGUGUGAUCAAAAAGUUCCAAGGUUUUUUGAAUUGCGCGCUAACGGACCGUCCAAGAGCAGUUGGACUGAUAUCACUGGGUUCUGUGCGAUUUUGUAAAGAAAAGCUUUUUUUUGGAGGGGGGAGGAGAGGGGUUGGUCGUAGAAGAUUUUUCUUUCCUUUUUGUGAUAACAUAAUGCGAUACGAGUAAUGAUUGUUAUCGUGCUGAAUCGUCAACAUGUUUUUAUUGUCAUUUUGUUACCAUACCAAACAAUUCCCGAUUAACCGGGACAUGGACUUGCCCGCCGCAUACUCGUGAAAAACUUUCGCUCGGCACGUCUGCUGCAGGUUUUCAGUCGCAAUCUGUUGGCAAAAGUCAUUCCUGAAACGUUGCGUUCCUCCGCCGAACAGCGGGUCUGUCGACAAAACGGUAGGAAAUAAUCACUCCCGCCCCUCGCGCCUAGGGGGAAAAAAAAAAAAAAAAAAACAACGCACGCUCUUCUUUUGGAUUCUUCGCGAAACCGCCGCGGUACGGCGCAAAUAUGACCGCGGUGGUACGAUGCACGUAACGUUAAUAAUAGCGGCGGUAAUACGCGGCCGGGCCACGGAACUCGCGUCGCGUGUCGGGUGUGCGUACGGGCUGCGUACCGACCGCGGUCGCGUUGUAUUAUUAAACGCGCGUCGAGUUUACGUUCGAAUUGGCCAGACGCGCGAUAAUAAUAUUGUUAUGUCGAAAUGCCGUUAACGUCCCCCCCCCCCCAUUGUCGUUAUCAUAAUCGUUAUCAUUAUUAUUAUUGUUAUUAUUAUUAUUAUUAUUAUUAUUUUGUCGCACGGCGUCUAGUCAUUUGUGUGCCAAAUCAAACGCGUGCAAUCCGG